CAUUACUGUUAAACAGUAUCACUAUACACUGAUUACUUAAUAAUUACUAUCUUUGGUGUCUCAUGUAGUUCAGCCGCCAAGUUUCAAAUAUCUUUUUUUUUUAUGUAAACAACUGCAUCAUUAAAUGUCGUGUCAAUUCCUUGUGCGGGACUGAGGACCAAUUCGCCGUCGGGUGCGCCCGCGAAGGACACAGUACGGGGUGGAGGCCGUUUGCCAAUUACUGGGCAGGCGGAUUGCUUUGCGUGGCUUGACGUAGCCGCUGGUGGGUUCGCCUGGACUUGAACUGGCGGUGCGACCGGCGAUGACGGCUGCGGUUUUGGCUGUGAGCCCGCCUGGGAAAGAUAUUACGGCAGUCUGGAAUCUUAAGAUCUAAUUUUUUUGGAGGAACCCAUCAAGGACCAAUCGUACUUUCUAUAUCGUUAAUAUAAUGUAUGCGUGAUUAAAUAUUUGGUUCAUUUUAUAUUAAAUUUGAAUUAUCAGGGUGAUUGUACUGGUCAUUUAAAAAAAAUCUAAAAUAAUAAAAUUGCUUUGCUAAUCA